rnacentral:rRNA from 1 species
CCUACGGGUGGCAGCAGUGAGGAAUAUUGGUCAAUGGACGAGAGUCUGAACCAGCCAAGUAGCGUGAAGGAUGACUGCCCUAUGGGUUGUAAACUUCUGUUAUAGGGGAAUAAAAUGUGCCACGUGGGGGAUUUUGUAUGUACAAUAUGAAUAAGGAUCGGCUAACUCCGUGCCAGCAGCCGCGGUAAUACGGAGGAUCCGAGCGUUAUCCGGAUUUAUUGGGGUUUAAGGGAGCGUAGGUGGAUUGUUAAGUCAGUUGUGAAAGUUUGCGGCUCAACCGUAAAAUUGCAGUUGAAACUGGCAGUCUUGAGUACAGUAGAGGUGGGCGGCUUUCGUUGUGUUGCGGU